CUAAGCCUGCUGUUAGGAUUGGCUACACACCGUUCUCCUUUGGAGGAUGGCUUGUUGAGGACUCCACUGGUGGGCCAGCUACUUUGGGCAUGUUUCAGAUGUAAUUACUGCAAAAGUGAGCCUGAAAAUUGCAUCAGGAUAGCCAGAGAUGAGCAUUUCUGUGAAUAAAACAGGAAGACCUAUUGCACAUUUUUGUAACUGGCCUGCAUAUGAAGGAGGAUUUCCACCAAAGGUAUUGCCAAUAUUAGGUUUUGGUUUGCCAGUACGGGGUUUUUUGUUGGUAGUGGUGGAUUCUACAUAUCUCCACAAUAAAACAUUGAGUAUUGCAUGCAAAUUGGGCUCUCUAACAAGGCAAGUUAAACUGUAACUUUUAUGGCAUGAGCCUGAGAUUAGCUAUAAAGAUUAGGAAGCUACUUAGCGUUUUUCUUGCUUGUUGAAACAUUGUUGGAAAUUGUUUAAGCUAGUGAAAUACGGGGUUUUGCAUAGAAGUUAGCGUAGAGAUCCAUCAAUCAUAACCUUUACAUAAAAAAAUGACUAUACAAUAGAGAAUAUCUUGAUUUUGUUUCAAUGUCUCAGUCCUAAUUUGAGGCAAAAGUUAAAAGUCAAUAAAGAUUCACUCUGUGAUGCCUAGACAUCACUUGGAGAUUGUUUUACCAAAUCCAAGAUGAAUUCUACCUUCCAUAGCAGCCGAGUCAGGAUCUAGCAGACCAGCAGAGGGCAUAAGCCCCAUUCUGGUGCAUCCUAGGGGUGCUGGCCGAUUUGUCGGAGCUGAAUCUUGGCGGGUAGCUACAAACUUAUGUCUGACCUGAAUCCACAAAAAGUAGGAAGUGAAUUCUUUUAGGUUGAAAGGUUCAACAUUAGAAAGGACUUCUUGAAUUUUUUUUUCUUCUUCUUUUAAUGUCAAGCUGUUUCAAUAUUUUAGCACACAGAAAACAAAUGUAUUAUUGUUGGAGAGAGUCCAGAGGAGGCCACAGAGAUGCUCCAAAGGCUAGAGCACCUCUGCUCUGGAGGCAGACUGAGAGAGCUGGGCUUGUUCAGCCUGGGGGAGAGAAGGCUCUAGCGUGACCUUAGAGCAACUUCCAGUGCCUAAAGGGGCUACAAGAAAUCUGGAGAGAGACUUUUUACAAGGGCAUAUAGGGAUAGCACAGGGGGUAAUGGCUUUAAACUGACAGAGUGGAGAGAAAGAUGAGAUCUUAGGCAGAAGUUCUUCCCUGUGAGGGUCCUGAGGCACUGGCACAGGUUGCCCAGAGAAACUGUGGCUGCCCCAUCCCUGGCAGUGUUCAAGCCCAGGUUGGACGAGGCUUGGACAAUCCUGGUCUAGUGGAAGGUGUCCCCCUGCCUGUGGCAGGGGAGUGGAACUGGAUGAACUUUAAGGUCCCUUCCAACCCAAACCAGUCUGGGAUUCUAUGAUUUUGUGUGGCUGGUUGAAAUUUGUUACUACCAGCCACUAUCAGGAGCAUUAGCUUCAAGCCUCUGAAUAGCCUCAAAGGAUAAUCAUAAGUAAAAUAUAUGGCAGUGUGCCAAAGUUAUGGAUGAUUGGUGUAAUAAGGAUGUGAACAGAAAAGAUAACCAUUUUUUAAAAUGGGUGACCUGUUAGAGAUCUGUUAGCCAAAAAUAAAGUGCCACUCUCUGCUUUCAACAUUCUCUUAAGAGCAGUAAGGGUUAGAAUGGGCAGUAGGUUUCCCUAGCUAGCUUUUUCCUAAGUUAUCUAAGUUACCUCCCAGUAUGCUUGGAAACAAAUCAAAAUGCAUCACCUUGCUUUGGCAGUGGAAAGAAAAAAGACGUGCUUGUCAGGCUGUCAGUGGUUUAGUCUGUCUCCUGAUAUUGUCACAUUUCAAUAGGAGGAGUGGCAAAACUGGAACCACAUGGAGCCAUACCUGCAAGUGCCUCUAGAGUGACUACUCAAACCCACUCUUCAAACACACUGUCCCAAAAAUGCAGCAGUUAAAUUUUUAAUCAUUACAAUCAAGGUACUUAGCUAAGAUACCCUUCUGAAGUGUUAGCUGCCCAAAUUAUGUAAAAAUCUGCAAAUUUUGUUGCUGGGCUAGAAAAUUUAAGAUUCAUUUGCACAGCCAUGCAGAAAGCUUUGAAAAUGUGAUUUAAAAAUUAAAUAGAAGAUGUAGGGCAUUUUUUAUUAAUUCAGAUGAGAAACACUAAAGAGUAAAUAAAUUUGAAUGGCUGAUACAAAUAAAAGUUCUGCGCUGUAAACUUAACUUCCAUUUUUGAGUUUACUGAGCCUUGACACUGCAUACCCUUAAGAUCUAUAAAUCUUUUAAGGUGUUUUACCAUUUUCUUAAGGGAGUCACAUUCGCAAAAUUUCUUAUGAUCAGACAAAUGUAUCUGUCUGGACACAAAGGCUGUUAUUUCAUUACGAACCAUAAUAUACAUGGCUUCAAUUCUUAAUUUAAUGGUAUCUGAUCUAUUCCAGGUGAUGGUAGGUAAUUUUGGCCAGGGUAAUGAGCAGUGUCAGUUCUGUGGGCAGUUCUCACAGCACCUCACUUCAUAUCCAAUGAGCUAAGCAAGGACACUUCCUUAGAGUACAGAACAUAUCCUGAAAAAUGAGAUAUUGAUUUAUACAUAUCAAGAUGCUUCAGAGCUUCAAGGAAAGCACAUCAUGAAAGUACUCAUUUGUCAACUUUCUUCUUUGAGAGAAGGUUUUAAUUCUUAACACUGUUAGUCUUUACAGUUUCCCUAAAGAGUAUCAGAUUUUCUUGUACCCUUUAGAAAUACUCUUUUCCUAUGCCCAUUUAAUUUAUUGGAUUAUUUUAUUCUGUUUGAUUUUCUCUAUCUGUUGUCUUAUUUGUGCAUUAUAAACACACGUUGGAGAUCAAGGUGAAGAAAAUUACACCUAUUAUCUGACCUAUUUGCUAACAUAAUCUUUACAUCACUGUUGGAACUAGCUAACCCAUUAUCAUAAACUUCAGCUGUUUACAUCAGGUCUUAAUUUUGUCAUUUUCUUUUCUGUAACUAUGGCUGCACUGAUGAAUUUAACAAUAUAAGAUGUGUCUGAUACUGCCUUGGAAGACAGAGAAUGUCACUGCAUCCACUGUUAGCAUGAAUCUCUGGAAGUGUUUUACUCGAUAUACAAUGUUUGUUGUAGCUGUACUUUACAGCAGUACGUUUUUGUUAGAUACAAUAUCUUGAGUUUUCAACUCAGUAGUCCUGUCUUUAUUUGCUUUUGUGUUUAGAGGUUAACUAGAACAGAUAUUUAAUGCUGAAGAAUUCUAGUGUAACUCAAAAGAUGGAAUUUAGGUAAAGUUAAUUGAUCUCUUUUCCAUCACAGGUUAUAUAUGAGGUUUAAAUCUGUCCGUAAAGAAGAUGGAGAGGGGAAAACAGUGGUUUAUAAUCCAAUUCAUUUAAAGAAUGGUGCUUUAGCAAAUAACAUGGGCAGACGUGAGGAAUACCUCUCCUGUCUCAUUUUACCCCAAAGGAAUCCAGGUCACAUGCUCUGAGACAACUCUAUAAAAAGCACAGUACAUAGCUUACUUCUGAGCCAGACUAAAAUGCUAACACUUUGCCAGUUAGAUUGCUCAUAGCAGGAGUCAGUUCUUUGAAGAAAGUUUUGCAAGAGACCUUUGCAUAAACAAGCAGGGAUCAAGCCAUAUUUCUCUUUUUGCAGUCAGGUAUCCUAAUCACAAGAUAGAGUGUCACUGGUGCAUGGUUCUUUCUCUCUCACUUGAGUAAGAGACACUAAUUCUUUUCACAAUUUCAGCAAAAGGAGUAGAAGCAGUAGUUGCUUACAAACCUCUUUAAGCUGACAAUUAGAUUAUCCUUUUAGUAGGAAUGCCAAGUAGGUUAAAUAUCUUCAAGGCCUCUAAACUGCAGCUCUUUGAUCCUGAAAGCUAGUAACACAUUGGCACUAUGUCUGAUUCCCUGCAGUCUUAGGUCAAAAUGGCUAAAUGUUGCACCUCUCUGCUGUGUUUAAUCAUAUCUGUGUGGCUAAAAUAGAAAAUCCCCAGUCAUCAUGUUGGCUCUUAAGAAUUCUUAACUCCAUACACUAUGGAGAAAGUUCAGGCCCUUCCCAUAGAGAAUCAGCCACCAUAAUGCUCAGUUAUAGACCAAUACCUGCAAACAGUAUAAGAAGUUAUUCAUCAGCUGAUCUUAACUGUCCUCCUUAUUCCAAACAGUCAAGCAGUCAUCUGAAGCUCAGGUUUAUAAGCGCUAGUAAAAAUAGCAAAGCAUUUUCAAGCUGACUGAGUAUAAAAACACAAUUAAGGAAUUCUUCAGGCUUACCUCUGACACAUUUGAAGGAAUUGGAGUUUCAAGUUUUAACAGUAGUGUUUACUUUUUGUUUUAUAUCAUUCUACUUCAUAUUACAGAACCUGAAAACCAAACCCAAAACCAUUUUAAUAAUCUGUCUCCUAAAAUGUAGUGGAACAAAAGCCACAUUACAAAACUAACAAUUUUAUGUAUACACUGAAAAACUCUGACUGAAUUUAAGUAAAACCUUAAAUAAGGGUGUCCAGACUUGUUUAGGUGCUUUUGACAGAAAACCAAAGGAGGCUGAAGCUAGCUGGUGUGUUCAACCUAGCUUAUUUCUGAUUUCAUACUGCUGAGUAUUGAGCUGAUGACAGGUUUUUCUGUUCUCUUUACAAUCGUUACUGAAAUACAGGAUUUGAAAUACAACUCUUUUCAGAGACAAGAGUCUUCCCACCCUCUCAACACACACAUGCUUUUCCACUAAAUUUGCUUGUAGAAUUCACCUUUUAUUUCUUCCUGGCAAUCUUCAAUUCUUGACUUUCCUUGACCAACAAACUGGUUUAAAAUAGAAAAAGGAUAAAGAAAGACAGCAUUUUUUUCUAAACUGCAGAAAUUACUGAUCAGUAAUGCUGCUGUGUAUUAAGAAUUAUAAAUAGGUACAGGAGUGUUUGGCAAUGGGUACAUCAGUUGUCAUCAACAGUCAUGUCACUAAGAGAUCUAUCUAGCCAGCAACUGAACUUUAAAAAUGUGUCAAACUUAGAAAAUUGUAUGUUGUCCUUUCACUCCUCUCUUUUAUGGAGAAGCAGAGUCUUUGUUUCAAAAUAGAAAAAAACCCAAACAGAAUGCUUCAUAACUGAGAUUCUGUCAAAAGAGAAAUAUUUUAAACCAGCACAUUUUCAGGAAAUCAUAGAAGUAGAGCAGAAAAGCAUGAGAAUGCUUUGCAUGGGGAUUGGAGCAACUUGGUCUAGUGGAACAUGUCCCUGCCUGUGGCAGGGGGUUGGAACUAGAUGAGCUUUAAGGUCCCUUCCAACCCAAACCAUUCUAUGAAUGCUGCCGUAGACACCCUAAGUAUUUUCUUCCUUGGGGAUCAUACAUUGCAUCCCUCUGUUCAGCACUUUGGUAUUCAAGCUGGUGUGACUCUAAAAAUAUGAAAUCUCAGGGAUUUAACUGAUUUACCACUGAAGUUGAUAUAUGAACAACACAAUCAGAAAUUAGUAAUUCCACAGGGAAUUAUUCCGAAGGAAUUAAUUAAUAUCCGGAAAAAUAAGGUUAGCACAUCUUACCUGAAAGAGCUAGGAUGCACACUCAAGAACUGUGGGAAACAAGUGUGAGCUACUGUACUACCACUGCAUAAUGUAGUGGCGCUGAGAUAACUGCAGCGUGAGCUGUAUUGUCAGCAUCUAGGUAUGUACAAGUUAUUUCUUUAAAUACACACAAUUUCAGAAGUGAUUUUCAGAGUUCCAUGACAGUAGACUAACACACUUAGUUUCACAAAGUUCUGAUUCUGAAGUAUGAAAGAGAAUCCAGAUGAAUCCAGUUUACAGUGGCCAUUACAAAUAAAGGCAAUGAUAGAGCAGUAAGACCUUUCACAACAAUUUUUGUCCACAUGGGUAUUACAAGACAGGAUAUAGGAUACAGGAAGUAAUGGAGAAAUGUUUUUAGGAAACAACUGCAAUUGCAGCAGGAUUACACUGCCAUUAACAUAGAAGUUGCUGCAACAGGCAGAGUUCUGCUGUUUCUCACAACUGUGCACUAAUCAACUUUUCAUUAAUUUCAUGCUCUUUUAAUAUGUUUUAUAAAUCAGUUUUUGUGUUUCUAAUCACUUGUGCUUCCACAAAAUUUGAGUUUUGAGUUGGUAUGUUGUCAGACUCAAAAGCAACCUUAGAUGGUUGAGUUUUUAACUUGGAUGCUGUGGCACCCCACCCACUGGCUGUAUACAAAAGGAGGUUUUAAAUUGACAGGGGAAUUAACAGUCUUCCAAACUUCAGUCUGGAGAAUGUAUAAUUACACUAAGUCAUUGUCAGAAGCUAUUUUAAAAGUAAAUGUUGCCUGCCUUCUGAGGUUUUUCUACAUCUAUAUAGUUUGGGCAUGUCAGCCUUUCUUUAAAACUACAGCAGCAUUGUUCUUGAUAGAAUAAGCAGCAACUAGCACACUUAAAAGCACAGAAAAUAAGACGAGCAGCUGGGCUUUUCCAAGUCUCUAUGGCCACCUCGCCACUGACUUCGUAUAGAGCUUCGGUGAUCCUGGGUCUCAUUAUUUAAAUUUGUGAAAUGCAGCUUUCAGGUUUUAAACUUUAAGCAGCUGUCACAGUGAUUAUUUGUUUACAUAGAAAUGGCCUUUCUUCUGCAAACUGCUGAAUCUUAGGUAUUAAAUAGUUUUAUACCUUUUUCUUUGUUACCUUUUAGAGAUAGUAGGAAUGUACUGGCUUAGCUGAACCUAACCUAUACUAAAUAUUGUUUACAGUUUAUAUUUUCUCAAGGCUAGAGUUUCUUUAGCUACUUUAGUUUCUUUAGUUGAAACAUUUUAGAAUUGAGCUAUUGCUAUUUCUCCCUUUACUGAAAGCUGUCCCAAAUGAUUACCCCUACGAAUAUUUGAAUGACUAAACCACCUUUCUUGCUCAGAAAAGAAAGUCUGUCUUCAUUAAAUUUCAUUUUUACUAUAAAAAUGACCCACUUCAAAUGUGCAUAGGCCCAUCUUACUGUAUGUCAAUUGGUUUUAAAUAAACUCUCCCCUAACAAGGCUGUCCCAUCUCUACUGCUGGUGCCUACUCUCGAUUCAACUCUUUUCCAGCCACAGCCCCUUACUAGACGUUCUUCUGUUAACAGAACAGGAAGUUCCUUAUCUUCUAAAAUUGUCUGACUCCAAGUUUAAUUACAUGCUAUAAGUAGAUAGAAAAUAUUCCUUGCUCAAAGAGAAAUUACUUGGGCUGGUACAAGAAAUUUCAGGGCCUGUGGCUUACAAGUCAGGUGGAAUGAUCUGACCUUCAACUCUGAAAAAAUGAUAAGUGACUUAAGAAGCUGAAGAAGAAAAGAUGAUGGGCAGAGCCCAAGCCAAAGUGAUGAAAAGCAAAAUUCAAAGACCAAAAACCUUGGAAAGAAGCAGCCUACCGUAAGCAAUUACACUUGUUUUGAUGGUGACCCUUCUGUAAGGGAUUGUGCUGCUCAAGGUUCUCACACAGGUUCCUGAGUCCAGUAUUUCAAGUAAAAUGAGAACUACUGCAGCUCCUCCUCUUCCUUCAACUUACAGUCAUAAUGAUCAUAAAAGGACCCACCUAAUUCCAGUCCUUCCAGUUGUGGGGUAAUCACCUCAAUAUGCAGAUUACAGAAAACUAAGGGGGAUGCAAUAUAUAUGAAAUAGCACAAAAUGCUUCUUUUUUAUAUGAAAAAAAAAGUGUUUGUUUAGUGCUUAUAUUAUUUAGUGCUUGCUUUCUGCCCGGAGGAAGAUGCAUUCGCUUCCCUACUAUCAGGAUGAAAUUGUUGCAGAGAAUUAACUGCUUUGCUUUACAUUUUAAUUCUACUUCAUUAUAUGCAUAUGCAAAACACAUUUGCACACAUCUGCAGGCAAACUUAAACAAAAAGUAAUGUUGCUUAAACAAAAAGUAACAAAUGAAAAAUACCACUUUUCUGGAGGUGAAAAAAAUGAACCUCCAGCAGCAUCUCAACACAGUUAUCCUUGAACAUCCAUGGAUUUGACAGUGACGUACAGUCAUAACUUUUGUUUUUUAAAAUAAAUAUUAUACAGGUAUUUUGUUUGGUGGCUCUCAGAACAAAACAAUCUAAAGUAAAAUUCAGUAUAGUAUUUUACAGAAUUAAUUAGAAUUGCUUAUGUAAUUAAGUUUGGGUAUGCCUCCUCUUGACGCUCCAUUCUAAAUAAGACCUGCACACAAGCAAAGAUUAUCUAUUCUUGGCAAAUCCUUCCUAGGGAUUAUAUUGUGUAUAAACUAAUAAGGGUUUAUCUUUUCUUCUUUCUGGCAGAGGAAAUAACUAGAGCAACAUUUAAACAUUAACAUGGCAUUGAAGAAUUCCAAACAGAAUUAGGAAAUGAAAAGGUUGGGAUUCUCAGAGCAAUAUAAAGUCACCAUUAAGCAUGCAGAUCUUACUUGCGGACCACAUGUAAAAUUCACAAUACUCUGUGUAUGCGGUACCAUUUUGCUCUGUGAAGCAAAAAUGUCAAGUAUGCACAAGCUGUUUAUUUUAAAAGAUCAUCUAAUAUUAUCAGCAUCAAAUUUUAUAUGCAGUCCCAUAUUAUUCCUGUUUUUUGAGAUGCCAUUGACACAAACCAAAGCUAGACAAAAUUUUUACCAUUCUACAUCAUUUAAAAGAAAAUGCCUAUGGUGAAGUAACUGAGAAACAAUUAAAAUGUGCUAAGCUUUAUACCAUAAAAGAGGAAAAUAUAUUUAGUACUUGCCAUCUGAAAGAGUUUCAUGAGCACAGAAAAAUGGCUGUUUGGGAACAUGACUGUUGAUUUCUGCAAAAUGUGAAAAGCAAGUCAGUGAAAGCUAUAAUGUAAAUUUGAAAUUAGGAACUUACCAAAGAAGGCCUUGGAGGAAUGGACUGCUUUGUUCCUAGUCACCUUUCAGCUGCUGGUUCUUGAGAUCACCUGUGAUUUGAUGCUACAUGUAUUUUAGCUGAGGAAGCAGACAUCAUGAACAGAGAGGUUGUGAAAAGUAGACCAGACAAAUGGGGUGUUAUAGAACAAGACAAUAAGAGGUGAACAAAUAAACAGGUAAGAAAAAUCUGCAUUCUGUUUUUAAGCAAUUUAAAACAGUUAGAGACAACAAAGAGCCAGUAGACAUACUAAAAGGAAAAGUUACACAAAAUCAUAACACGCAUUUCUGUCCCUUCCCUCUUAGCAGAAUGUGGUCUGCACAGUCUCUAUAAAUCCACCGUCUGUCUUCACCUUGAAUACUGUACAAUUCUGCAGUUUCCCCCCAUCUCAGUAAAAAUAGAAAUGGAAGAAGAUUCAGAAAUGGUCAACAUGGACAAAGGCACAGAAAUGGGGUUUCAGAACAGUGAGUCAGAUUGACAGUAAAGUAUUUCUUUAUGAAAAGGGCACUGGUGCUGUUUAUGACAAAGCUGUCUAUUUAAUAAAGUAGGCAAAGUCUCAGCUCUCUUUGAAUUCAGUAUGGAUGAUUUCCCCAAUGCAUUUACAUAGCUUAGUUGGUGAUAUGUGGGAAAAAUAAUUAAUCAAUUAAUUUGUUAUUGCAGUAGAACAGGCUACUGCCUUACCUGCCUGCAGGGCAUAGUUUCAUGAACACCUUUAGGCAAAACAAGCAGCAGUUUUGGAGUCUCUUUCCCUUCAAGUCUACAGUCCAACUUUCUGCUCAAGGCAGGUUCCAUUAAAGCAAAUGCCUCUUGUGCACCUCUGGGAAGAAUCUGACUCCAUAUUUUCUACACUGUUCCGUGGGGAAGUAGUAGUCAGCAUAUCACCUCCCCUCACCAUCUUUAAACCUGACCAAAUCCAGUGCUCUCAGCUUUUUGUAUGUCAUCAACUGCAGCCCCCUGAACAGUUUGGUGGCCCUUACGAGUCUUGCUUAGCAUGUGAAUGUCUUUCUUAAAAUGAGACUUGGAACUCCAAAUGUUGUCUCACAAGUGUCAAGUGGAAGGGAAGAAUCUCUUGCCUCCAAACCUAUCAGUUGUGCUCAGCCCAAUAAGCAGCUGGACAUGUUUGCUGCAAGAGCACACUGUUGACUCACAUUCAGCUUGUGCACCAUGACCCCCAGCUUCUUUUUUAUAAAGCUGCUCUCUAUGCAGUCAGUUCCCAACCUGUCACAACACAUGGGGUUAUGCCAACCCAGAUGCAGGGCUUUGCAUUUGCCUUUGCUGAACUUCAUGAGGUUCCCCAGCAGCUCCUUUUUCCAGUCUGACUGGGUCCAUCAGAGUAGCAGCCCUGCCCUCCAGUGUAUCAACCACUCCCCCAAUUUGGUAUCACCCACAAAUUUGCUGAGAGGUCACUCUAUCUCAUCAUGCUGGUCAUUACAUCAACCAUUUCAAGAAUCCAAGUUGGUGUAACCUAUGUAAAAGCAAGCAAGUCAAACAUCCUUCCAGAGAUAUGCUAGAGAUUUCAAAUUUUGUUGUACAGAAAUGCAGGAGUUGCAUUGCUGAGUAUCUAUCUUUUCCUUUAGAUAUAAAAUGUAGCCCUAGGUUCCAGAAGAAGCAGGCCCUGGUCUUUUUUUUGGAUGCAAAUACUGAAAUGUAGAACUUGAUUUACUGUAAGAAAUCUUCUGGAAGGCAGAGAUGCUUGUUGAGACCGAAGAACCAAGCAAGUCAGAAAUUAUUUAUAGGGCCCUUCCCCAGAAUCUUCCUGUCUGUGGCUUUGCUCAAAGACAGAUGAUAUAUUUCUGUAUCUUAAAAUGACCAGAGUUGCAUCAGUCUACGUGGUACUCCGGGAACAUACUUGCAAUCUUGUUAUUUGCCUGGGUGGUUUUAUGCACAGGAUGGACUUUGUGCUUGUAGCUGUUACACUUAAGGAGCAGAGGGUAGAAUCUGCAAGAGAACAAAACCAGAAAAAAGAGAGAUGAAAGAAGAAACCUGUAGGAGUAAUUUAGCUCCUCUGCAUACAUUAUAAAUAUAAACCACUUUCAAGAACAUUUAUGUAAUGACAGCUUUUCCAGCACACAACUGUCUGUUAUGGGCAGCUAUGCACUAGCACAGUAUUUCUGCAGAAUGGACAGAAUAACAUCACUGCCAAAGGGCAUAUAAAGGACAAUGCUACAAACACGCUCCCCAAAAUUCUCUCAGAACAUAUUAUGCCACUCAUAGGCUUACUAUUACCAAAGACAUGACAAGUUAUACUAUACGCUGGUAUGGUCCUAAAUCGAAGUUGGAUUUUGUUCUGUAUGCUAGAAAUAGAUAUAAUACCAAGUACAUUGGAAAUACUAUAAAACAGCUCAUCAGAAUGUUUUCUGAUCUUCCACAUGGAGCUUGUCUCUCCAGACUAUGUUUUUUAACUGUCAUGGGUUUUGGAACAACAUUCCCAACAACACGAGCUGAAGAAAACAUCCGUAAACAGGAAGCAUUGGUUGUGAAAAGGAACUAAGAGAAGAUGGAAGGACAUGAAAGAGAAGAAAGUCAGCCAAGCCUCUAAAAAUGGGAACAAAGGCACUGCAUGUUUCCAAACAAAUACUUCAGUAAGUAAGGCUAUUUUGUUUCUUCUACGAAGACAACGAUGAUAAAAGAAGUUGAUUGUGUACUACUUGGACAUCCAGUACCUGAAGGAACUUAAACUUGUAAGGGAUGUAUUCCAGGCCAACCCUGUGUCCCAGUCCAAUGUUUAAGAAAAUGUGGUGUAACUUUAGGACAUAGGAUCAUAGAGUGGUUUGGGUUGGAAAGGACCUCAAGAUCAUACAGUUCCAAGCUCCCUGCCAUGGGCAGGGGCACCUCAACCUAGACCAUGUCACCCAAGGCUCUGUCCAACAUUUGCCAAGUACAGCAAUCAAGUAAAUUCAGGCAGUUGACUUACUGCUGGAAAGCAGCUCUUCAGUUCUGGUUAUUCUGAUACCUUCACAGUGUAUCAGGUAUGUGUUUUCUUUCCUUAUUUUCCUCCAGGAGUCAGUGCUGCAGAAGAACCCAAUCUGGGACUUGUGCUGGGUUGCAGAACACCAAGCUCCAGUUGCCAAAAAGAAUUCUUCAGUGAAAAGGAAAAUGCAAUUUGUCAUAAAUGACUUACACCAGUCACCAAAUGCUUCAGAUAAAUGAAAAGGAACACUACAAGAAGCAAAUACAACAGGUCUGCACUGCCACAUAAGAUUUAUUUGAAAAUUUUAUGGGAAUUGGAAAUCUCAUUUAAAAAAUAAAUCAUUAUCAUUGUAAUCCAUAUUAA